rnacentral:tRNA from 1 species
GCGCCUGUGGCGGAAUUGGUAGACGCGCUAGACUUAGGAUCUAGUUUCUCGCGAAGUGCAGGUUCGAGUCCUGUCAGGCGCA